GCGUUGAUCCGAAAGAGUCUAUAGAGAGAGACGAAUGGUCCACCUAUGUAGCAGCCCGCGGGCCAUACCUAAGAUGACGAAUGAUGUCUGUCCUUUUGUUGUUUUCCACAUGACGUUAAAAUUCAAGUGAGAGAAACUAAAUCUCUCACCAAAAUACAAACAGUAAUUUUUUUGAAUUAUCUAUCUCAAAAGUUUCUCUAUCAUUGAAACGGUAUUUUUCUGCUAAUAAAAC
rnacentral:lncRNA from 1 species